CUUUUCUCCUAUGUUGGCUUUACAAGUUCCUACUGUGCAUCCCUGCCCUAUCAUUUUCUUCUGAUUAUCUCUUUUUAGCCAAAAUACUAGCUUCGGGAGCGGUCGCAACCGGUUAUAUUCUUUGACUAACCGCCAAGAGGAGAAAUCUUCACCAGAUGUUGUCACAGGUAUGUUAUGAAUCUUUUCUCGUGAUGUUUAUGUAUUGCUUG
rnacentral:lncRNA from 1 species